UGUGGGCUCCUUUCUCCACAGGAUGGCACGGUCUCUGUCCUGUCCUUCUCCACGGUCCUAUCUCCAGCAGGACCCUGCUCCUUCUUGGGCCUCCCAUGGGGUCACAACCUCCUUUGGAUAUCCACCUGCUCCAGCAUGAGUUCCUCCGUGGGCUGUAGAUUUUGAAUUUGUCAGAGCUCCACAGAAUCUGCUCCAACUGAUGCCAAUGGCAGAAUGCCUCUUGAUGCUCAUGGGAGCUGCAUUGGACCAACCUUGUAUCCUUAUUGUUUUUCAGGUUUCCCUGGCCAAAAAUGCUGCAUCACUCUGCACAUCUUAAUUCUGUUAGUAAAAAAACCUUUUACCCAUGAAUUUGAAAAACUUUGCAAGUCUGCAUAAAUAUAUUUAUGAAAGUUUGACUGCAGAUUAUAUAAAGAUUCCUCCAUUUUGACACAAAUCAAAUUAAUCCUCUUUGAAUCUUCACUGAAAUGGUGAUGCUAGGCUAAAUAAAUCUCUUUGAAUUCUCAUUAACUGUUAGUACAGCUGAUUCUUUGACUGG